CCGACCCGGGCCUAACCGGCCCCGAACCGGCCCCGAACCGGCCCGAACCGGCCCCGACCCGCCCCGAACCGGCCCCGAACCGGCCCCUCCCUGCACUGAUUCACCCACUCACGGCAGCGCCGGCCCCGAACCGGCCCGGCCGGGUGUUCCCCUCACGGCAGCACCGGCCCCGACCCGGCCCCGACCCGGCCCGAACCGGCCCCGAACAGGCCCGAACCGCCCCGAACCGGCCCCAACCGGCCCCGAACCGGCCCUUCCCUGCCGCGACCCGGCACUGAUUCACCCACACCUCCGCGCUGAAAGGCACCGCGCGGCAAUUCCGCGGAGCGAGCAGCACCACCGGCACAGCUUUCCAACUUUUAGCAAACAAAGAUACUAGUGUGCGUUGGUUACAAGGUACGUGUUUCCCUUAUUAAUUAGUAUUCUCUCUUCUGCUGGUUAAUGAGUCUCACACUUCUGCUAACUGCUGCCACGCUCUCUCUCCUUUGGCUCGGCGCUUUCCUGGGUGCUGCUCCAGGAGUUGGUGCUCCUGACCUGCCCCUGAAUUUCCCUUUACCCACUCAGAGCUGAUUCCACAGAGCUGCUGAGUUCCCUUGAUUUGUUUUGUCCUUAUCUGGGGGUUCUGCCAAAUGUCCUCGUGGCCCCCGAAUUCUGCAUUCCUCGAGUAUCGGUGGAAAUCCUUCUCCCGAGCUUUGUGAGCCUCCCCAGGGCUGAGGUCAUUGCAACACGUCCAGCCCCAAACCUUAACAGGGCAGUGCUGCUGGCCAGGAGUUUGUGCUUCUACAGCUGGACAUCACUUAGAGCUUGUUGGCCGCUCUGUUUCACAGAUUAAAUCUCCCUCCUUGCUGAUCAGGUGUGCAGGUUACAAAGAUCAAACAGCAAAGAACAUGCUAUCUCAAUUCAAAUUUGCAUAUUUCACACUUAGCAACAAGAUGAUCUGAGAAGCAGGACUAGCACAGAACAUACUUGGUGACCACCUUGGAAAGGCAAUUAUAGUAAUAAUGGACAACAGAAAUCAACUUAAAAAAAAGAUUAGGGCUUUUUUUGACAGAGUGUGAAGAACAGAACAGCAGCUGUGCUUGCUGAAUAGUAUCAGUAAAUAUGCUGCUAACAAUUUCUUCAACUAUAGGUGCAGCUGGGAAUCUGAACCAAGUGAUCAUGAAUACUAAAGCCAUGAAAUAAAAUGAAUAUAUAAUGAAUAAAAUAAAAUUAAUAUAAUGGAAGUAUCUGCUGUUUAAAUGUAGCCUAUUCAGUGUGGCCAUGGUGUUAUUCCUUUCCCAGCUCUUUGACAGUGUCCCAGUCUUUAUGUCUGGGGUUUGAAAUCCAGAGAUGUACAGAACAUCAGUCAGAAAAUCAGUCAGGACAUCCCACAGUCAGAAAUGACUUUGUUAUCAUGUGUGCCUAAUGAGAGACCUCCCUUCUACCCAGGACUUGUACUUACGGCUUUGCAUUCCCAAAGACACGGCACUUCUUCUGUCUUGUUAGGAUAAUGAUUUUUGUGAAUGUACCAGGACAGACACAUUGAUUCAACAAACACACCACUAAUGGACAUAAAGGCUGUGUCAGACCAAACCAAGGGAAGGGGUAAGAAAUGUGUGACAGAACUGGCAGGAUGCUUGCUGCAAUGAGCUGUUACUAAUUGCCACAACUGGUGUUCUUCACAAGUUGUGGAAAAUGCACAAAUGGGGGUGGCCAGGUAGCGCAGAUGACACUGCUUGAGAUCCACAGGUGUGCAAAUGCAAGUCAAGCCAGAGGUGAGGAGGAAGAAGACGACACCUACAAAGAGUCAACACCUGCAGCAGGAGCUUGGGCUGUCCCUGUGAGAGCCCCCUGGGUGCUGUGGGAUGUGGGAGCUGGGCACCAGGUAAAGGGGUGGUUGGAGUAGGGCUGUUUGUUUGUUUGUGCUCAUGAGGAGAGCUCUCCUGUUUUCCUGGAUUCCCACAUUGUUCAUUUGUGUCUGCUUCCAUGUAACUUGGCAAAAAAGCCACUUCCCUCCCUGUGUGCCCUGACCCAUUC